UAGAGUUUGAUCAUGGCUCAGAUUGAACGCUGGCGGCAUGCUUUACACAUGCAAGUCGAGCGGCAGCGCGGGGGCAACCCUGGCGGCGAGCGGCGAACGGGUGAGUAAUGCAUCGGAACGUGUCCCGUAAUGGGGGAUAACGCCGCGAAAGCGGCGCUAAUACCGCAUACGCUCUACGGAGGAAAGUGGGGGAUUCGCAAGGACCUCACGUUAGGGGAGCGGCCGAUGUCCGAUUAGCUAGUUGGUGGGGUAACGGCCCACCAAGGCGACGAUCGGUAGCUGGUCUGAGAGGAUGAUCAGCCACACUGGGACUGAGACACGGCCCAGACUCCUACGGGAGGCAGCAGUGGGGAAUUUUGGACAAUGGGGGCAACCCUGAUCCAGCCAUGCCGCGUGCGGGAAGAAGGCCUUCGGGUUGUAAACCGCUUUUAGUCGGGAAGAGAAGGCGCGAGUUAAUACCUCGUGUUGUUGACGGUACCGGCGGAAUAAGCACCGGCUAACUACGUGCCAGCAGCCGCGGUAAUACGUAGGGUGCGAGCGUUAAUCGGAAUUACUGGGCGUAAAGCGUGCGCAGGCGGUUCGUUGUGUCGGUGGUGAAAGCCCCGGGCUUAACCUGGGAAUGGCCAUGGAAACUGGCGAACUGGAGUGUGGCAGAGGGGGGUGGAAUUCCGCGUGUAGCAGUGAAAUGCGUUCACACAGG
rnacentral:rRNA from 1 species